GUAGGGGGCAAGCGUUAUCCGGAUUUACUGGGUGUAAAGGGAGCGUAGACGGCANUGCAAGUCUGAAGUGAAAGCCCGGGGCUCAACCCCGGNACUGCUUUGGAAACUGUGCNUCUNGAGUGNCGGAGAGGCAAGCGGAAUUCCUAGUGUAGCGGUGAAAUGCGUAGAUAUUAGGAGGAACACCAGUGGCGAAGGCGGCUUGCUGGACGAUGACUGACGUUGAGGCUCGAAAGCGUGGGGAGCAAACAGGAUUAGAUACCCUGGUAGUCCACACUGUAAACGAUGAAUGCUAGGUGUAGGGGGUAUCGACCCCUUCUGUGCCGGANUAAACACAAUAANCAUUCCNCCUGGGGAGU
rnacentral:rRNA from 1 species